UACGUAGGGGGCGAGCGUUAUCCGGAUUUACUGGGUGUAAAGGGAGCGUAGACGGCAGAGCAAGUCUGAAGUGAAAGCCCGGGGCUUAACCCCGGAACGGCUUUGGAAACUGUUAAGCUAGAGUGCUGGAGAGGUAAGCGGAAUUCCUAGUGUAGCGGUGAAAUGCGUAGAUAUUAGGAGGAACACCAGUGGCGAAGGCGGCUUACUGGACAGUGACUGACGUUGAGGCUCGAAAGCGUGGGGAGCAAACA
rnacentral:rRNA from 1 species